rnacentral:tRNA from 1 species
AGCCCCAUAGUUCAAGGGAUAGAAUAGUUGUUUCCUAAACAAUUGAUCGCAGUUCGAGUCUGCGUGGGGCUA